UUCCUAGUAGCUUAGAGGUAGAGCGAGGAUCUGUUAAGUCCGAGGUCACUGGUUCGAAUCCAGUCUAGGAAA
rnacentral:tRNA from 1 species